rfam:Dichanthelium oligosanthes cultivar Kellogg 1175 unplaced genomic scaffold Do_version_2_scaffold907, whole genome shotgun sequence.
AUUUUGUAAGUGGAGUGCCCUUCAAACCAAUGAAGGGUCGUUUUUAAGGGUGGUACAGCUGCUCGUUCAUGGUUCCCACUAUCCUAUCUCAUCAGCUUUGUGAGUGUUUGUGAGAUCUAGUGAGAUGAUUUGUAACUGGUUUGAGAUAGGCUUGUGGUUUGCAUGACCGAGGAGCUGCAUCGUCCCCUUGCUGACCGCUCUUUGGUUUGAAGGGUGCUCUACAUCUUGAUCCC